UACGUAGGAGGCAAGCGUUGUCCGGAGUUACUGGGCGUAAAGCGCACGCAGGCGGUCGCAUCAGUCUGGGGUGACAGUUCCCGGCCUAACCGGGAAAGUGCUCUGGAAACUGUGCGACUUGAGGGCUUCAGAGGGAUGUGGAAUUCCAGGUGGAGUGGUGAAAUGCGUAGAGAUCUGGAAGAACACCAAAGGCGAAGGCAGCAUCCUGGGAAGUUCCUGACGCUCGGGUGCGAAAGCCAGGGGAGCGAACGGGAUUAGAUACCCCGGUAGUCCUGGCCGUAAACGAUGACCACUAGACGUUGGAGGUAUCGACCCCUUCAGUGUCGCAGUUAACACGCUAAGUGGUCCGCCUGGGGAGUACGGUCGCAAGAUUAAA
rnacentral:rRNA from 1 species